UUAAGCGACUAAGCGUACACGGUGGAUGCCCUGGCAGUCAGAGGCGAUGAAGGGCGUGCUAAUCUGCGAUAAGCGCCGGUAAGGUGAUAUGAACCGUUAUAACCGGCGAUACCCGAAUGGGGAAACCCAGUGUGACUCGUCACACUAUCAUUAACUGAAUCCAUAGGUUAAUGAGGCGAACCGGGGGAACUGAAACAUCUAAGUACCCCGAGGAAAAGAAAUCAACCGAGAUUCCCCCAGUAGCGGCGAGCGAACGGGGAGGAGCCCAGAGCCUGAAUCAGCAUGUGUGUUAGUGGAAGCGUCUGGAAAGGCGCGCGAUACAGGGUGACAGCCCCGUACACAAAAGCGCAUGUGCUGUGAGCUCGAUGAGUAGGGCGGGACACGUGGUAUCCUGUCUGAAUAUGGGGGGACCAUCCUCCAAGGCUAAAUACUCCUGACUGACCGAUAGUGAACCAGUACCGUGAGGGAAAGGCGAAAAGAACCCCGGCGAGGGGAGUGAAAAAGAACCUGAAACCGUGUACGUACAAGCAGUGGGAGCACAGGUUUACCUGUGUGACUGCGUACCUUUUGUAUAAUGGGUCAGCGACUUAUAUUCUGUAGCAAGGUUAACCGAAUAGGGGAGCCGGAGGGAAACCGAGUCUUAAUUGGGCGUUAAGUUGCAGGGUAUAGACCCGAAACCCGGUGAUCUAGCCAUGGGCAGGUUGAAGGUUGGGUAACACUAACUGGAGGACCGAACCGACUAAUGUUGAAAAAUUAGCGGAUGACCUGUGGCUGGGGGUGAAAGGCCAAUCAAACCGGGAGAUAGCUGGUUCUCCCCGAAAGCUAUUUAGGUAGCGCCUCGUGAACUCAUCUCCGGGGGUAGAGCACUGUUUCGGCUAGGGGGCCAUCCCGGCUUACCAACCCGAUGCAAACUGCGAAUACCGGAGAAUGUUAUCACGGGAGACACACGGCGGGUGCUAACGUCCGUCGUGAAGAGGGAAACAACCCAGACCGCCAGCUAAGGUCCCAAAGUCAUGGUUAAGUGGGAAACGAUGUGGGAAGGCCCAGACAGCCAGGAUGUUGGCUUAGAAGCAGCCAUCAUUUAAAGAAAGCGUAAUAGCUCACUGGUCGAGUCGGCCUGCGCGGAAGAUGUAACGGGGCUAAACCAUGCACCGAAGCUGCGGCAGCGACGCUUAUGCGUUGUUGGGUAGGGGAGCGUUCUGUAAGCCUGUGAAGGUGGCCUGUGAGGGUUGCUGGAGGUAUCAGAAGUGCGAAUGCUGACAUAAGUAACGAUAAAGCGGGUGAAAAGCCCGCUCGCCGGAAGACCAAGGGUUCCUGUCCAACGUUAAUCGGGGCAGGGUGAGUCGACCCCUAAGGCGAGGCCGAAAGGCGUAGUCGAUGGGAAACGGGUUAAUAUUCCCGUACUUGGUGUUACUGCGAAGGGGGGACGGAGAAGGCUAUGUUGGCCGGGCGACGGUUGUCCCGGUUUAAGCGUGUAGGUGUGUGUUCCAGGUAAAUCCGGUUCACUUUAACACUGAGGCGUGAUGACGAGGCACUACGGUGCUGAAGCAACAAAUGCCCUGCUUCCAGGAAAAGCCUCUAAGCAUCAGGUAACACGAAAUCGUACCCCAAACCGACACAGGUGGUCAGGUAGAGAAUACCAAGGCGCUUGAGAGAACUCGGGUGAAGGAACUAGGCAAAAUGGUGCCGUAACUUCGGGAGAAGGCACGCUGAUGGUAGGUGAAGCGACUUGCUCGUGGAGCUGAAAUCAGUCGAAGAUACCAGCUGGCUGCAACUGUUUAUUAAAAACACAGCACUGUGCAAACACGAAAGUGGACGUAUACGGUGUGACGCCUGCCCGGUGCCGGAAGGUUAAUUGAUGGGGUUAUCCGUAAGGAGAAGCUCUUGAUCGAAGCCCCGGUAAACGGCGGCCGUAACUAUAACGGUCCUAAGGUAGCGAAAUUCCUUGUCGGGUAAGUUCCGACCUGCACGAAUGGCGUAAUGAUGGCCAGGCUGUCUCCACCCGAGACUCAGUGAAAUUGAACUCGCUGUGAAGAUGCAGUGUACCCGCGGCAAGACGGAAAGACCCCGUGAACCUUUACUAUAGCUUGACACUGAACACUGGUCCUUGAUGUGUAGGAUAGGUGGGAGGCUUUGAAGUGUGGACGCCAGUUCGCAUGGAGCCAACCUUGAAAUACCACCCUUUAAUGGCUGGUGUUCUAACGUGGACCCGUAAUCCGGGUUGCGGACAGUGUCUGGUGGGUAGUUUGACUGGGGCGGUCUCCUCCCAAAGAGUAACGGAGGAGCACGAAGGUUAGCUAAUCCUGGUCGGACAUCAGGAGGUUAGUGCAAAGGCAUAAGCUAGCUUGACUGCGAGAGUGACGGCUCGGGCAGGUGCGAAAGCAGGUCUUAGUGAUCCGGUGGUUCUGUAUGGAAGGGCCAUCGCUCAACGGAUAAAAGGUACUCCGGGGAUAACAGGCUGAUACCGCCCAAGAGUUCAUAUCGACGGCGGUGUUUGGCACCUCGAUGUCGGCUCAUCACAUCCUGGGGCUGAAGUAGGUCCCAAGGGUAUGGCUGUUCGCCAUUUAAAGUGGUACGCGAGCUGGGUUUAGAACGUCGUGAGACAGUUCGGUCCCUAUCUGCCGUGGGCGCUGGAGAACUGAGGGGGGCUGCUCCUAGUACGAGAGGACCGGAGUGGACGCAUCACUGGUGUUCGGGUUGUCAUGCCAAUGGCACUGCCCGGUAGCUAAAUGCGGAAAAGAUAAGUGCUGAAAGCAUCUAAGCACGAAACUUGCCCCGAGAUGAGUUCUCCCUGAGACUUAGAGUCUCCUGAAGGAACGUUGAAGACGACGACGUUGAUAGGCCGGGUGUGUAAGCGCAGCGAUGCGUUGAGCUAACCGGUACUAAUGAACCGUGAGGCUUAACCUU
rnacentral:rRNA from 1 species